CCUACGGGUGGCUGCAGUGGGGAAUAAUGGACAAUGGGCGAAAGCCUGAUCCAGCCAUGCCGCGUGUGUGAAGAAGGCCUUCGGGUUGUAAAGCACUUUCAGUGGGGAAGAAAGCCUUGGGGCUAAUACCCUCGAGGAAGGACAUCACCCACAGAAGAAGCACCGGCUAACUCCGUGCCAGCAGCCGCGGUAAUACGGAGGGUGCGAGCGUUAAUCGGAAUUACUGGGCGUAAAGCGCGCGUAGGCGGUCUGAUAAGCCGGUUGUGAAAGCCCCGGGCUCAACCUGGGAACGGCAUCCGGAACUGUCAGGCUAGAGUGCAGGAGAGGAAGGUAGAAUUCCCGGUGUAGCGGUGAAAUGCGUAGAGAUCGGGAGGAAUACCAGUGGCGAAGGCGGCCUUCUGGACUGACACUGACGCUGAGGUGCGAAAGCGUGGGUAGCAAACAGGAUUAGAUACCCGAGUAGUC
rnacentral:rRNA from 1 species